rnacentral:rRNA from 1 species
GACGAACGCUGGCGGCAUGCCUAACACAUGCAAGUCGAACGAGACCUUCGGGUCUAGUGGCGCACGGGUGCGUAACGCGUGGGAACCUGCCCUUAGGUUCGGAAUAACUCCCCGAAAGGUGUGCUAAUACCGGAUAAUGUCUUCGGACCAAAGAUUUAUCGCCUUUGGAUGGGCCCGCGUUGGAUUAGCUAGUUGGUAGGGUAAAAGCCUACCAAGGCGACGAUCCAUAGCUGGUCGGAGAGGAUGAUCAGCCACACUGGGACUGAGACACGGCCCAGACUCCUACGGGAGGGAGCAGUGGGGAAUAUUGGACAAUGGGCGAAAGCCUGAUCCAGCAAUGCGGCGUGAGUGAUGAAGGCCUUAGGGUUGUAAAGCUCUUUUACCCGGGAUGAUAAUGACAGUACCGGGAGAAGAAGCUCCGGCUAACUCCGUG